rnacentral:rRNA from 1 species
UAGAUGCGAGAGUAGAGCAUAUCAAUAAGCGGAGGAAAAGAAACUAACUAGGAUUCCCCUAGUAACGGCGAGUGAAGCGGGAAGAGCUCAAAUUUGAAAUCUUCAAGGUUCCACCUUGACGAAUUGUAGUUUAAAGAAGUGUUUUCUGUUGGAGUUUUGGUAAAAGUUCUUUGGAACAGGACAUCAUAGAGGGUGAGAAUCCCGUAUUUGACCAUUAUUUCCAACUUUGUGAUACACUUUCAAAGAGUCGGAUUGUUUGGGAAUGCAGUCCAAAAUGGGUGGUAAAUUUCAUCUAAAGCUAAAUAUUGGCGAGAGACCGAUAGCGAACAAGUACCGUGAGGGAAGAUGAAAAGAACUUUGAAAAGAGAGUUAAACAGUACGUGAAAUUGUCAAAAGGGAAGCGUUUGACACCAGUGUUGUUUUUCCGAAAAUCAAUUACGAAUGUUUUGUUUUUGAGGAGUUAUGACUUCAUCGGCUUGCUCCUUUCUUUAUGAAACUUUCUUAAUGCACUUUUCGGUUAACAAGUCAACAUCAAUUUCUUUUGUUGUAAAAGGGUAUGAGGAAGGUGGCUUUCUUUUCGGAGAAAGUGUUUAUAGCCUUGUACCUCUGCAAUCGGAGAGAUUGAGGUCUGCAGCGUAGAUCCUUCGGGGUUAGAUACAUUUGUGCUAAGUUAUAGCUUUUCAUAGACAACUUGUUGACUAUGUUAAGUCUUGUAGCUUACUCGCUUAUGCUAUUUUACCUACGCUUAGGAUGUUGACACACGCGCGUGCUCG